rnacentral:sRNA from 1 species
ACACGUUUUCUUUAUUGAGUGGAAAUAUUUGAUUUCCAGAUGUAAUUUAAUCAAUCAGAACUAGUUCUGCAAUAAGCAGCUACUAAACUACUUUUGGACUAGUGGGUUUUGAUGAGAAGUCACAAUAGUUUCAAACUUAUUGCGAGGGUUAGUUGCGUAGGGCUGGCCAGUUAAAGUUUGCAUUUGGAUGGGAGGUGGAGGAUUCGUGGGCCGUUUUCUUAUUUGACUUGUCUAUCUGUCUGUCUAUCUGUUUGUCUGGGAAGUUAUCUCGACUACUACCUCAUUGCUCUGCCGAGUAGUACAGGUUACUUGUAAUCUUAUGGAAAAAGGCAUGCAGGCAUUCCAAGCGUG